rnacentral:rRNA from 1 species
AACGAACGCUGGCGGCAUGCCUAACACAUGCAAGUCGAACGAGACCUUCGGGUCUAGUGGCGCACGGGUGCGUAACGCGUGGGAACCUGCCCUUAGGUUCGGAAUAACUCCCUGAAAGGGGUGCUAAUACCGGAUAAUGUCUUCGGACCAAAGAUUUAUCGCCUUUGGAUGGGCCCGCGUUGGAUUAGCUAGUUGGUAGGGUAAAAGCCUACCAAGGCGACGAUCCAUAGCUGGUCUGAGAGGAUGAUCAGCCACACUGGGACUGAGACACGGCCCAGACUCCUACGGGAGGCAGCAGUGGGGAAUAUUGGACAAUGGGCGAAAGCCUGAUCCAGCAAUGCCGCGUGAGUGAUGAAGGCCUUAGGGUUGUAAAGCUCUUUUACCCGGGAUGAUAAUGACAGUACCGGGAGAAUAAGCUCCGGCUAACUCCGUG